GAUGAACCAAACGCUGGGUUAAGGCGCCCGAUGACAGACGCUCAUCAGAUCCCAUGAAAGGUGUUGGUUGCUAUAGACAGCAGGACGGUGGCCAUGGAAGUCGGAAUCCGCUAAGGAGUGUGUAACAACUCACCUGCCGAAGCAACUAGCCCUGAAAAUGGAUGGCGCUGUAGCGUCGAGCCCAUACCCGGCCGCCCCGGCUGUGCGCGGAAGCUUAUGCAGGGGUGAGUAGGAGGUGUCGCAGCGGCGUGCGUUGAAGGUGCCGGGCGUGGGCCCGCCUGGAGCCGCCGCUGGUGCAGAUCUUGGUGGUAGUAGCAAAUACUCAAGUGAGAACCUUGAGGACUGAGGUGGAGAAGGGUUCCAUGUGAACAGCAGUUGAACAUGGGUCAGUCGGUCCUAAGGGAUAGGAGAAAUCCGUUCCGAAGCGGGACCUACGUGCACCGUUAGGUCCUGUGGUUGACCGAAAGGGAAUCGGGUUAAUAUUCCCGAACUCGGACGCGGAGAUCGGCCCCUCGGGGUCAACUGCGGUAACGCAACCAAACUCGGAGACGUCGAUCGGGGUCCCGGGAAGAGUUGUCUUUUCUUUGUAAGGGAUCGGCUCCCUGGAAUCGGCUCGCCCGGAGAUAGGGAUGCUGUUCCCGUAAAGCACCGCGGCUCUUGCGGUGUCCGGAGCGCUCCGGUCGGCCCUUGAAAAUCCGAGGGAGAGUGUGAUUUUCGUGCCGGACCGUACCC
rnacentral:rRNA from 1 species